rnacentral:rRNA from 1 species
UGGGGGAUAUUGCACAAUGGACGAAAGUCUGAUGCAGCGACGUCGUGUGGGGGAUGAAGGCCUUCGGGUUGUAAACUCCUUUCGCCCGCGGAAAAGGCAGGGUUUUGGCCUUGUUGAUGGUAGGGGGUAAAGAAGCGCCGGCUAACUACGUGCCAGCAGCCGCGGUAAUACGUAGGGCGCGAGCGUUGUCCGGAAUUAUUGGGCGUAAAGGGCUCGUAGGCGGUUUGUCGCGUCUAGCGUUUAAGGUUCGGGCUUAACCCGGAUUUGAGUUGGGUACGGGCAGGCUUGAGUGCGGUAGGGGGAACUGGAAUUCCUGGUGUAGCGGUGGAAUGCGCAGAUAUCAGGAGGAACACCGGUGGCGAAGGCGGGUUACUGGGCCGUUACUGACGCUGAGGAGCGAGAGCGUGGGGAGCGAACAGG